rnacentral:rRNA from 1 species
GGACGAACGCUGGCGGCGUGCUUAACACAUGCAAGUUGAACGACGGAAGCUAAUUGAUUUAUCAAUGGGUGGAAGGAGUGGCGAACGGGUGAGUAACGCGUGGGUAACCUGCCUCAUACAGGGGGAUAACAGUUAGAAAUGACUGCUAAUACCGCAUAAGCGCACAGUACCGCAUGGUACCGUGUGAAAAACUCCGGUGGUAUGAGAUGGACCCGCGUCUGAUUAGCUAGUUGUGGGGUAACGGCCUACCAAGGCGACGAUCAGUAGCCGGCCUGAGAGGGUGAACGGCCACAUUGGGACUGAGACACGGCCCAAACUCCUACGGGAGGCAGCAGUGGGGAAUAUUGGGCAAUGGGCGAAAGCCUGACCCAGCAACGCCGCGUGAGGGAAGAAGGUUUUCGGAUUGUAAACCUCUGUCCUAAGGGAAGAAGGAAGUGACGGUACCUUAGGAGGAAGCCCCGGCUAACUACGUG